UACGAAGGGGGCGAGCGUUGUUCGGAAUUACUGGGCGUAAAGGGCGCGCAGGCGGCCUUAGAAGUCAGAUGUGAAAGCCCCGGGCUCAACCUGGGAAUGGCAUUUGAUACUCUGAGGCUGGAGUACGGGAGAGGAGAGUGGAAUUCCCAGUGUAGAGGUGAAAUUCGUAGAUAUUGGGAAGAACACCGGUGGCGAAGGCGGCUACUCUGGACCGUAACUGACGCUGAGGCGCGAAAGCGUGGGAGCAAACAGGG
rnacentral:rRNA from 1 species